rnacentral:rRNA from 1 species
GGGACACGUGGUAUCCUGUCUGAAUAUGGGGGGACCAUCCUCCAAGGCUAAAUACUCCUGACUGACCGAUAGUGAACCAGUACCGUGAGGGAAAGGCGAAAAGAACCCCGGCGAGGGGAGUGAAAAAGAACCUGAAACCGUGUACGUACAAGCAGUGGGAGCACGCUUAGGCGUGUGACUGCGUACCUUUUGUAUAAUGGGUCAGCGACUUAUAUUCUGUAGCAAGGUUAACCGAAUAGGGGAGCCGAAGGGAAACCGAGUCUUAACUGGGCGUUAAGUUGCAGGGUAUAGACCCGAAACCCGGUGAUCUAGCCAUGGGCAGGUUGAAGGUUGGGUAACACUAACUGGAGGACCGAACCGACUAAUGUUGAAAAAUUAGCGGAUGACUUGUGGCUGGGGGUGAAAGGCCAAUCAAACCGGGAGAUAGCUGGUUCUCCCCGAAAGCUAUUUAGGUAGCGCCUCGUGAAUUCAUCUCCGGGGGUAGAGCACUGUUUCGGCAAGGGGGUCAUCCCGACUUACCAACCCGAUGCAAACUGCGAAUACCGGAGAAUGUUAUCACGGGAGACACACGGCGGGUGCUAACGUCCGUCGUGAAGAGGGAAACAACCCAGACCGCCAGCUAAGGUCCCAAAGUCAUGGUUAAGUGGGAAACGAUGUGGGAAGGCCCAGACAGCCAGGAUGUUGGCUUAGAAGCAGCCAUCAUUUAAAGAAAGCGUAAUAGCUCACUGGUCGAGUCGGCCUGCGCGGAAGAUGUAACGGGGCUAAACCAUGCACCGAAGCUGCGGCAGCGACGCUUAUGCGUUGUUGGGUAGGGGAGCGUUCUGUAAGCCUGUGAAGGUGUGCUGUGAGGCAUGCUGGAGGUAUCAGAAGUGCGAAUGCUGACAUAAGUAACGAUAAAGCGGGUGAAAAGCCCGCUCGCCGGAAGACCAAGGGUUCCUGUCCAACGUUAAUCGGGGCAGGGUGAGUCGACCCCUAAGGCGAGGCCGAAAGGCGUAGUCGAUGGGAAACAGGUUAAUAUUCCUGUACUUGGUGUUACUGCGAAGGGGGGACGGAGAAGGCUAUGUUGGCCGGGCGACGGUUGUCCCGGUUUAAGCGUGUAGGCUGGUUUUCCAGGCAAAUCCGGAAAAUCAAGGCUGAGGCGUGAUGACGAGGCACUACGGUGCUGAAGCAACAAAUGCCCUGCUUCCAGGAAAAGCCUCUAAGCAUCAGGUAACAUCAAAUCGUACCCCAAACCGACACAGGUGGUCAGGUAGAGAAUACCAAGGCGCUUGAGAGAACUCGGGUGAAGGAACUAGGCAAAAUGGUGCCGUAACUUCGGGAGAAGGCACGCUGAUAUGUAGGUGAAGCGACUUGCUCGUGGAGCUGAAAUCAGUCGAAGAUACCAGCUGGCUGCAACUGUUUAUUAAAAACACAGCACUGUGCAAACACGAAAGUGGACGUAUACGGUGUGACGCCUGCCCGGUGCCGGAAGGUUAAUUGAUGGGGUCAGCGCAAGCGAAGCUCUUGAUCGAAGCCCCGGUAAACGGCGGCCGUAACUAUAACGGUCCUAAGGUAGCGAAAUUCCUUGUCGGGUAAGUUCCGACCUGCACGAAUGGCGUAAUGAUGGCCAGGCUGUCUCCACCCGAGACUCAGUGAAAUUGAACUCGCUGUGAAGAUGCAGUGUACCCGCGGCAAGACGGAAAGACCCCGUGAACCUUUACUAUAGCUUGACACUGAACAUUGAGCCUUGAUGUGUAGGAUAGGUGGGAGGCUUAGAAGUGUGGACGCCAGUCUGCAUGGAGCCGACCUUGAAAUACCACCCUUUAAUGUUUGAUGUUCUAACGUUGACCCGUAAUCCGGGUUGCGGACAGUGUCUGGUGGGUAGUUUGACUGGGGCGGUCUCCUCCUAAAGAGUAACGGAGGAGCACGAAGGUUGGCUAAUCCUGGUCGGACAUCAGGAGGUUAGUGCAAUGGCAUAAGCCAGCUUGACUGCGAGCGUGACGGCGCGAGCAGGUGCGAAAGCAGGUCAUAGUGAUCCGGUGGUUCUGAAUGGAAGGGCCAUCGCUCAACGGAUAAAAGGUACUCCGGGGAUAACAGGCUGAUACCGCCCAAGAGUUCAUAUCGACGGCGGUGUUUGGCACCUCGAUGUCGGCUCAUCACAUCCUGGGGCUGAAGUAGGUCCCAAGGGUAUGGCUGUUCGCCAUUUAAAGUGGUACGCGAGCUGGGUUUAGAACGUCGUGAGACAGUUCGGUCCCUAUCUGCCGUGGGCGCUGGAGAACUGAGGGGGGCUGCUCCUAGUACGAGAGGACCGGAGUGGACGCAUCACUGGUGUUCGGGUUGUCAUGCCAAUGGCACUGCCCGGUAGCUAAAUGCGGAAGAGAUAAGUGCUGAAAGCAUCUAAGCACGAAACUUGCCCCGAGAUGAGUUCUCCCUGACUCCUUGAGAGUCCUGAA